CCUCUGUCCCUCCUCUGUCCCUGUGCGUGGUUCGGAGCCCUCGGGGAUGAAAUUGGGGAUCUCAAGGCUGUUUUGGGGAACCUGC